rnacentral:lncRNA from 1 species
AGGACCCAAAAAUUGGAUAUGACUCCCAUCAGCUUCCCCACUAAUUUGAUUCUUCUCAUUGUCAUGAUUAAAUCCCAUGCUUUUGUCAGCCUUCAAUGAGUGCUUCUUUCCUUUGCCUGUUACUCCCUGAUCUUUCGCAACAGGUGAAAGAGCAGGAGCUGUUACAUUAGAAUAAGUGGACACAUUCUGGCCAUCAGAAGCACUAGAAUCCCUGGAUACCUUCCCUUCCACUUUGGCAGAAUUUAGAUCGGGCUUCACAGAUUGGUUUUGGCGGACUGAUGUCCGAGUACUCUUGCUUGAGUUGGAUGUGGAAGUUGGAGAUGCAUUCUGCGGUGCUUCUGUUGAACCCC